UACGGAGGGUGCGAGCGUUGUCCGGAGUUACUGGGCGUAAAGGGCGUGCAGGCGGUGGUGCGCGUUUUGUGUGACAGCGCAAGGCUUAACUUUGCGAGGAUACGAAAGACGGCAGCACUUGAGAGCGCGAGAGGGGCACGGAAUUCCGGGUGGAGUGGUGAAAUGCGUAGAGAUCCGGAGGAACACCGAAGGCGAAGGCAGUGUCCUGGCGCGCAUCUGACGCUGAGGCGCGAAAGCCAGGGGAGCGAACGGG
rnacentral:rRNA from 1 species